rnacentral:rRNA from 1 species
AGAGUUUGAUCCUGGCUCAGGACGAACGCUGGCGGUGCGCUUAACACAUGCAAGUCGAGCGAGAACCAGACCUUCGGGUCUGGGGACAGCGGCGAACGGGUGAGUAACACGUGGGAACGUACCCUUCAGUUCGGAACAACCCAGGGAAACUUGGGCUAAUACCGGAUACGUCCGUAAGGAGAAAGAUUUAUCGCUGAGGGAUCGGCCCGCGUCUGAUUAGCUAGUUGGUGGGGUAAUGGCCCACCAAGGCGACGAUCAGUAGCUGGUCUGAGAGGAUGAUCAGCCUCACUGGGACUGAGACACGGCCCAGACUCCUACGGGAGGCAGCAGUGGGGAAUAUUGGACAAUGGGCGCAAGCCUGAUCCAGCCAUGCCGCGUGGAUGAUGAAGGCCUUAGGGUUGUAAAGUCCUUUCGGCGGGGAAGAUAAUGACGGUACCCGCAGAAGAAGCCCCGGCUAACCUCGUGCCAGCCGCCGCGGUAAUUC